rnacentral:sRNA from 1 species
UCUGGCAUGGUGGCGCAUGCUUGUAAUCCCAGUAACUCGGGAGGCUGAGACAGGGGAAUUGCAAGUUCAAGGUCAGCCUCAACAACUUAGCAAAGCCUUAAGCAACUUAAUGAGACCCUGUCUCAA